UACGGGAGGCAGCANCUGGGGAAUAUUGCACAAUGGGCGCAAGCCUGAUGCANCAACGCCGCGUGAGCNAAGAAGGUCUUCGGAUCGUAAAGCUCUGUCCUCANGAACGAANAAGUGACGGUACCUGAGGAGGAAGCCCCGGCUAACUACGUGCCAGCAGCCGCGGUAAU
rnacentral:rRNA from 1 species